rnacentral:rRNA from 1 species
GACGAACGCUGGCGGCGUGCUUAACACAUGCAAGUCGAACGAAGUGGCGAACGGGUGAGUAACGCGUAAUCAACCUGCCCUUCAGAGGGGGACAACAGUGUUAAACGACUUCUAAUACCGCAUACUGUAGUAGGGGAUUGCGUGGGAAUAGCUAGUUGGAGGGGUAAAGGCCCACCAAGGCGAUGAUAAGUAGCCGGUUUAAGAUGGUGAACGGCCACAUUGCGACUGAGACACGGCCCAGACUCCUACGGGAGGCAGCCGUUGGGAAUCUUCCGCAAUGGACGAAAGUCUGACGGAGCAACGCCGCGUGAGUGAUGACGGCCUUCGGGUUGUAAAGCUCUGUUAAUCGGGACGCGGUACCGGAAUAGAAAGCCACGGCUAACUACGUGCCAGCAGCCGCGGUAAUUC